UAGUCUACGCCGUAAACGAUGGAUACUAGUUGUUUGGCCUUCGGGCUGAGUGACUAAGCGAAAGUGAUAAGUAUCCCACCUGGGGAGUACGUUCGCAAGAAUGAAACUCAAAGGAAUUGACGGGGGCCCGCACAAGCGGUGGAGCAUGUGGUUUAAUUCGAUGAUACGCGAGGAACCUUACCAGGGCUUAAAUGUAGUCUGACAGCUUUAGAGAUAGAGUUUUCUUCGGACAGAUUACAAGGUGCUGCAUGGUUGUCGUCAGCUCGUGCCGUGAGGUGUCAGGUUAAGUCCUAUAACGAGCGCAACCCCUGUGGUUAGUUGCCAGCGAGUAAUGUCGGGAACUCUAGCCAGACUGCCGGUGCAAACCGUGAGGAGGGUGGGGAGUGACGUCAAAUCAUCACGGCCCUUACGUCCUGGGCCACAAACGUGCUACAAUGGGAGUUACAGUGGGCAGCAACGUCGCGAGGCGAAGCUAAUCCCUAAAAGCUCUCUCAGUUCGGAUAGGACU
rnacentral:rRNA from 1 species